UGUCCGAUCCGUUGAGCUCCAAGGCCGGGCUUCUGCAGGGAGUGGCUUCGGCUGCCCCUGCUGGGGCCGACCUGACAGAGUGGGUG
rnacentral:rRNA from 1 species